UGGGGAAUAUUGGACAAUGGGCGCAAGCCUGAUCCAGCCAUGCCGCGUGAGUGAUGAAGGCCUUAGGGUUGUAAAGCUCUUUCGCCGGUGAAGAUAAUGACGGUAACCGGAGAAGAAGCCCCGGCUAACUUCGUGCCAGCAGCCGCGGUAAUACGAAGGGGGCUAGCGUUGCUCGGAAUCACUGGGCGUAAAGCGCACGUAGGCGGAUCGUUAAGUCAGGGGUGAAAUCCUGGAGCUCAACUCCAGAACUGCCCUUGAUACUGGCGAUCUCGAGUUCGAGAGAGGUUGGUGGAACUCCGAGUGUAGAGGUGAAAUUCGUAGAUAUUCAGAAGAACACCAGUGGCGAAGGCGGCCAACUGGCUCGAUACUGACGCUGAGGUGCGAAAGCGUGGGGAGCAAAACAGGAUUAGAUACCCUGGUAGUCCACGCCGUAAACGAUGGAUGCUAGCCGUUGGGGGGUUUACCUCUCAGUGGCGCAGCUAACGCCUUAAGCAUCCCGCCUGGGGAGUACGGUCGCAAGAUUAAAACUCAAAUGAAUUGACGGGGUCAUAGCUGUUUCCU
rnacentral:rRNA from 1 species